UGCAUAGCAACAAAACACGCCUCUCCUGUCAAUGUGGAUUUCUCAGCCAAUCGGCAUUGAAGUUCGGCGUGACGUCACGUUUGUUGACACUUCCAGAGCGUUAGCUAAAACGUCACUGCAGCAGCGCGCGCCCGUGACCCUCGCCGUCCACCCUGCGUUUUCUGCCUGGAAACAUCGCGAACUAAUCGGUGAAACGCUGGAUUCCGGGGGCUGGAGCCGGUGUGCGGUAAAGUCCUGACGUGUCUCGGCUCGUUAACACACAAUAUUGAUCUGUUUUUGUCCCAGUCACGCUGACAAACGCUCUCUAAGUGCUGCUGCUUCUGUAGGUUUUGUUCCGUCCUCAAUGCAUAGCUGUCUGCUGGAGGAAAGUGUGGCUGUUACCACAGAUAUAACGUUAUCAUAUUAGAAAUUCAAUUAAAGGUUCAGAAAUGGCCUCGAAUCAUAGCACCAAUAUGGCUGCUCUUGACCAGAGACAGAGGGAUACAGGAAAUCUGCCAAGCCAAGGUGAAGUAUCUUCAUCCAGUGUCCAAACUGAACCCGGUACUACUGAUCCCCAGGACCGACUGGAUCCUCACCCUGACCUGCCCCAAUGCCAAAUGGGCACCAGAAAGGUAGACGACAUGCGCUUCAUGAUAUCCUGCACUAACUGGUACUGAAGAUGUUGCAGAAGAGAAAAGACAUUUGGACAAUUUCCCUUCGAGUGAGUGCCAAAUUUAGUGCGGGACGCUGGCGAAGUGGAGAUGUUGCAGUUUCAAUGCUGCUUAAAUGGGUUUGGUGUUGUUUAUGCAUUUAAAGCAAUAGUUUUGCCAUAAUUUACUCACUCUCAAGCCAUCCUCUACAUUUAUAAAUUUAGCAAAAAAUCAUCAGACAGUUGUUGUAUAUAAAUGCUACGACAAGUCUUACAAAGUCUAUGAGUAAAUUGUUUUUUCUUUUUUCCACAGUGUAUAUGACUUUCUUCUGUCAGACAAACUGUGUCAGAGUAGUUGUAAAUGUUAUCCUGGCUCUUCCAUGCUGUAUAAUGGUGUUGGAUAGCUUUCAAAGGUGCAUAAAUCCAUUGUAAAACUAUCCCAUAUGUUGUUAUUGGGUUAAUACAUGUUUUAUGAAGCAGAUCAAUUUGUUUUUGUAAGAAAAACAUUUCAAUUGCAUUUUGCUCUACGCCACUGAUUAUCAUAUGUAUAUAUUAGUACGGUGUAAUGUC